rnacentral:misc_RNA from 1 species
GGUAAACUAGUUAGGCCCUUUCCAAAACAAUGAAGGGAUGAUACAGGAGGGAUGGCAUUGGUUUUGUAACAGAAACCUUGUUGAAUUUGAGCUAAUUAAUGUACUUCCACAAUUCACAGACUUCGGCUGCAUCCGUAUUCUGUUAGGAGUUUCUUGAAGUGCCAGUGGGAAAAGUGAGUGUAUGAUCUUCGCGUAUGAACUAUAGCUGCAAGUUGAUCUUUUUGGACCACUUGAAAAUAUCAGAGUGAACCUGGUCUCCACCCAACUCCUCCCCAGUCGCUCCCGCUGCUACCCUUAAAAUGUCCUCUAUUAAUGCGAAGUUCCCCAGCAUAUCAACAUGAGCACCACUUUGGGUGCCUCGGCCCUCUAGAAGAUUAGCUGGAGGGGCAUGAUUAUAUUCCCUUAUGUAAGUACGAAUGCCUGAAGGAUUGAAUCUUGUUUUGCCUCGCCAUCCCUUUGCACACAUAAAACCAGCACUCAAAACAGGAACUGUCUCGUCUCCAUUAACGGAAAAAACUCCAUCUUUUAGACAAGAGUUCUCAAUUCCACCGGUUGCCGAGGUAUCUAUCUGAAAUGGAAUUGAGCA